CAAGCGCUGCAGGCACCACUAUCCAGAGCCCACCUGUACCAGCAUCACCAAUAUAGGAGACGGCCGAGUCUCCAGUGGUACUCUCUCACAGCAUCGAGAGCCGGAACAUCGCUAGCAGAGGACAUCACAGUGCAGAGCAAGCAUAUGAGCUUGCGGUCCCUGGGUGGGUUCAGACCCCUGAGGAAACAUCUGCAGUGAUAGCGUACUUCAGUAGAGACUGCUCCUGCUCUAAACUUUGACUGUAUCCCACUACCAACCAGUUACUAUUUGAAGAACUGUGACCUGGUGGUCCAAACAAACUUCCUUUUCUGGGGUCUCUGGUGAAGAAAAGAAGGAUCCCUUUGACACAGCAUCUUACUUCAGACUCCACCACAGACUGGUUGCUACGUCAAGGUUACAUUUUCAAGGAGUCCAAUGGGCGGUUCUACUCAGCGAUAGACAGUGUUCCCUAAAAGAAUGUGCAUAGAGGUGGUUGACAGUCCCCGAAAAGGCUCGAUCACUGGAACCGAAACGCAGCAUGAAAAUAGUUUGAAGUGAUUACAUUAUUACUCACAUUGUUAAAAUACAUUCUAGCCCUGAAAGAUGGUAGGAGCCCUUUUUCUGGACAAUGUCUGUCCGUGCAUAUCAUCAUUAUCUAUGGAUAAGCAGAGGGGAGCACGCUCCUGCUGCAGAAGACGGAUUGCCAUCUAUAGUCUAAACAAGCUAUGGGACUUAAAAUAGAAGUCAGGCAGUGGUGACAAAUGAG